ensembl:lncRNA
GUCUGUAUAUUUUGAUAAGCUUUAUUUACAUGCAAUAGUGCUCCAGCAUGCGUAACCAUGGCAAUGGCUAGACUCGUGAGGGAUGUAGACUAGGGGUCUCCUUCAUCUGGGGGUCCGCUGACCUCAGGCAGAGGCAAGUACUUAUUUUUACCGCCAUUUCUAGGGAGGCUUGGCCCCCACACAUUGCCAGAGCUUCCCUUCCGGCGGAAGUUUGGGGACCAGCAGUAAACAAUGCUUCAGGACAGCCCCCACUUCAGCUUAUGAACGACUGUAAAAAUGUCAAUUUCCAGAAUCUCUCCCAUUAAGUGAUGCUAAAAGUAAAAAAAUGACUCAUAAUGCUAAAAAUAAAUAACUAUACAAUAUAUAGAAUCUCUGUGAACACUAGACUACUGGAACGUGACGCUUGUUCAUUUUGCAUACACAUGUUACAAGUUUUGUUAAUGCCGCACGACACUCGAUACAUUUGUGUUAUUUCUACACAGAGAGACAGAGUCUGAAGGACUUACAGCAUGAAGAGAGCUCAGUGUUCACGUCCUCUGACUCUGCAGGACUACAGCGUGAGGAGAGCUCAGUGUUCACGUCCUCUGACUCUGCAGGACUACAGCGUGAGGAGAGCUCAGUGUUCACGUCCUCUGAGUCAUACUGUCUGCAGUGAAAUGUUUAGGAAUGAUGUGGAGCCGGAAUCCUGUGAGCGCUGAAUACUGGGGACCAUAUAUAUAUAUUCCUAUGGCCCACUGAACCAAGGGGAAAAAAGAAUAAUAUCUCAAUCAUUUGAGGAAGCUUGUAUAAAGAAUCCUUUUCAAUAUGAAAAUAAAACAUAUGUACAGGUAAUACUAACAUAUUUAUGUACAAAAUGCAUAAAUAUAUAAAUAUCCGUGAUACAAAAAUAAAUAUCGGGUCAUUCUCUCUCUUCUCAUGCGUCUGCUGAGUCGCUCGUCCCUUCGGCGUCCAAGGCCCCCUCGCCAAGGGCCCCCCCCUCGCCUAGGGCCCCCCCCUCGCCGAGGGCCCCCCUCUCGCUGGGGACCAUGUCUACCUCCUCCAGCGAUGCAUUCUGGGACUGCGGCGUGGUGGCCGCUGAGGAGGAUGCGGUGAAGUUUCCUUCGUCUUCGAGGGCCAAGUGAGGGAAGGACGAGUCUAGAAGAAAUAAAUCAGCAACUUUAGAUGUCAACCCUCAGCACAUCGCAAAAUGUUAUUUUACGUAGUUAUUAAAAUUAAAAAAAAACAUUUUAUAAAUGGUACUGUAUUGUAACGAAAUAGCAUUUAUUAAAUUUGCAACUGAU